rnacentral:rRNA from 1 species
GGAACAGGGUAGGAGGGUCGGCGGCGGGGACAGAGUAGUGGGUAGAAGAAGGAGCCCUAGGAGGGUCUAGGGGAAGAGUGGGUUGGUCGUGAGCUCCGGAGGGGAGCUAGGCGGGCCGGUUGGUCUCGUUGGGAGCUAGGUUGAGGUGGAGUGGGCGACGGAGGAGCUAGGGGAGGGCUCGUCCACGAGCGGGCCUCGGGGCGCAGUGGCGGUUGGAGGGGCGGCCGCUCGCUUGGUCGUCGGUUGGUCUACUCGCGGCCGGUGGAGGGAAAAAGAAGUGGAAGGCAAAGGAGGGACGCAAAGGGGAGAGAGUUGAGAGAGAAAAGGAGAGACGGGGUCCUGCUUCGAGGCAGCGGAACUUCGAAACGACAGUCGGUGGAGGUGGCGGACCUAGGCUGCACCUAAGCGGCAAAGCGCGAGGAGGCCGGUGGAGGCGGGCAAAGGGGCAGGGGCCGCGGCUGCACCUCAGCACGGUUCUGCGGCGGCGACGAGACGAAGGACUGCUCGUCUCCUGCUCCGCGGGCGAGCGGGCGCAGAGCGCAACUAGCGCCGGCAGCGGGGCGUAGCGGUCGUCGUUCGAGGCGGCGCGGUUCAAGCGGCAGCAGCGCGGCUCAGGGAGCGGUUCGGCGGCGGCAACGGAGACAAAGCGCGGGAGCACGACGACGACAGCGCGGGACGAAGCAGACUUCGAGGUCGCGGUUCAGGGAGCGGUUCGGCGGCGGCAAACGGGACGGCGGCCGGACGGAGGAACAAGCCUAGGCCGGUUCGAGAGGGGCAGCGGCCAACGGAGCGGCUGGGCGACGAAGAGCGCGGACAGCUGGGGUGGUAGAGCGGCAGGCAGCGGGACUUGGACGACAACCAAGACAAGAAGUCUCUACUCGUCGUCGUCGAGCGGGCGGGGAAGCGGACAACUGGCUAAGCCGACGAGUGUACCCGACGUUGGUGCCCAGCCGGAGGAGGCGCGGUUCCGGGUCGCGCGGGGAAGCGCCGGACGGGUAGGAGGAGGGGUGGCUUGACCCGAACCGGGUACGAUGCCAAAGCAAGGCCUCAACACUCCUAAGCAAGCUGAGGCGGGCAAACAGACGAAGUACCUGAGCAAGAAGAAGGUUCGCCCUAAAGUCCACGGCUCCUAUGGUCGCGUCCACUACGACGGCUUGAGUUCAGCCCAAAGCUGCUCUCUGAACCAGCAAAGAUACAAAUAAAAGUACAACUAGUCAUCACUACGGGUCAACCCCUUCUAGCCCUAGAUCGUCAACCCAAUAGAAGAAAAAUAAACCUAAACAGGCAUCAGCCGGAUACACACAUGAGACUUACUACAUACAAAAUAAAUACAUAACACACUUCACCGCUAACAUUCGGUUGAGAA